UCCACUUCCUCUUUGUCGACUUGUCGUUAGGACCUCACACUGUUCCUGACGUCCUCCUGGUCUAAAGUCUGUGUGAAGGGUUUGAGGCAGAAACCUUCUAACUUUGAUCUUGUCAGAAACCAAAGUGUUUCUGAGAAUCAGAGGAAUGAAGUGUUAUUGAACUGAUCCUUUCUCUGAACUCCUGAUUCUUAAUGGAUGGAUCUACUGUGAUCUACUGUGGAUCUACUAUAUGGAGACUUUGAGCUGGUUGUGGUUUUACAGGAAGGUGAAGAUGCUGCUGCUGUUUGUGAUCCUCUGUCACGGUUUCCGUCAUGUCUUGUGUGUGGAGGUUCUUGAAGGAGCAGCUUCCGUCGUGCUGCCCUGUCACAUCUCCUCAGUUCCCACACGUCCCACUGUGCUGUGGAGCCGCCACAAACUCAGUCCAUCAACUAUCCACCAGCGUAACGAGAACGGAGACAGCCUCAAAGACCAGAACCAGUGCUACAGCGGCCGGACGUCGAUGAAGACGGACGCUCUGCAGACUGGAGACCUGAGUCUCACUCUGAGGAGACCCCGUGUGUCUGACAGCGGCAACUACAGCUGCACCAUCACCGCGUUUGGGAACGAACGGAGACUGGCUGAGGUGGAGCUAAAGGUCAAAGAACUGAAGACGCUGCCUGUUGACGUCUCAGUUCUCAUCAGCUUCCUGCUCAUUUCUCUGGUCGCCAUUAUGAUUCUUGGAGUUUAUCUGUGGAGAAUUAAGACAUAUGUGAGAAGAUUAAAAAACAAAGCCACACAGGUGGCAGCAGAUUCAGGAGUGGAGUCUGUCCUGCUUCUCUGCAAAACCACAGCCAAGCUGCCUGAGGACGUCAGAGUGGAGUGGAAGAGCUACUACGGCAUGGUCCAUGUGUAUGAGAACGGUUCUGAUCAGCCUGAGGAACAAAACUGGUUUUACAGAGGACGAACAGAGAUGAUGAGAAACCUGCUGAGAACUGGAGACGUCAGUCUGAGACUGAAAUACCCAACACACCCAGGAACCUUCACCUGCACCGUCUACAACAAGGAGAAAAAGAUCCUGAUGAAGAAACGGGUGGAGCUGAAGGUCGAAGGUCAGUUCAAAACUAUUUCAAGUCAAAGUCAACUUCAUCCACAGCAUUAG
rnacentral:lncRNA from 1 species